CAACUUUUACACUGCAGUCACAUCUAUCAAUCCAUCUACGGCCCAAGAAUUCACUGCAUCAAUCCCCUGAAAACAGCAGACGGGCUCAAAGUCCUGAAAGACCAGAAUAGCAUCCCGGAGAGGUGUGCUGAACAUUUUGAACACCCUGCUAAAGCAGAAC